UUGGUAAGGGUUUGGUUUAGGGUUUAGGAUUUGAAUUAAGGUUUGAUUUAGGAUUUAGAGUUUGAUUUAGGAUUUAAAAUUUGGUUUAGGAUUUGGUUAGGAUUUAUUUAGGAUUUAGAGUUUGGUUAGGAUUUGAUUUAGAAUUUAGGAUUUAGUUAGGAUUUGGUUUAGGAUUUAGAAUUUGGAUUAGGAUUUGGUUAGGAUUUGAUUUAGGAUUUAGGAUUUGAUUUAGGAUUUGGUUGGGAUUUGAUUUAAGAUUUGUUUAGGGUUUGAUUUAGGAUUUAAGAUUUUAUUAGGAUUUAAGAUUCAAUUAAUUUUGGCAUAAAGUUUGAAUAAAGUUCAACAGGAUUUUAACUAGAAUUAAAUUAAGAUUGAAUUGAAAUAUAUUUGAGUGAUAUUUGUGAUCCUUUUAAUAUUUCUUUAAGAAU
rnacentral:lncRNA from 1 species